rnacentral:rRNA from 1 species
UCGGGACUCUGAGACAGGUGCUGCAUGGCUGUCGUCAGCUCGUGUUGAGAAAUGUUGGGUUAAGUCCCGCAACGAGCGCAACCCUUAUCCUUUGUUGCCAGCGGUUAGGCCGGGAACUCAAAGGAGACUGCCAGUGAUAAACUGGAUGAAGGUGGGGAUGACGUCAAGUCAUCAUGGCCCUUACGAGUAGGGCUACACACGUGCUACAAUGGCGCAUACAAAGAGAAGCGACCUCGCGAGAGCAAGCGGACCUCAUAAAGUGCGUCGUAGUCCGGAUUGGAGUCUGCAACUCGACUCCAUGAAGUCGGAAUCGCUAGUAAUCGUAGAUCAGAAUGCUACGGUGAAUACGUUCCCGGGUCUUGUACACACCG